UGUUCCUAUAUGAUCAUCAAAGUUAAGCUAUGUUAAGCCUGGUCAGUACCUAGAUGGGUGACCACUUGGGAAUAUCAGGUACUGUAAG